rnacentral:piRNA from 1 species
UAUAUUUGCAUGGAGGCUUUACAGUUUGCC